AUCUCCAAGGGCGCGGCGGGGUCGCGCAGCCGCGACUUCGUGUUAGAGGCGCCGUGGGGUACAUCAUCAAGAACCUCGGCAUGGCGCUGGAGAUCGGGGACAGCCAAGAGGAGGUCAAUGUGCGCCGUGAGGAGCAGCUCCGAUGGAGCCCGGCCACCUCCAUGUGCUCCAUGUGGGAAUUUCUUUCCGCCCCUUUCUAUUCCAACUCAUGUGAGAAGUCACAGGAAUCCCAAUCCCCUCAAGAAUCUAAUACUCCAAACUGAAUCCAAGGUGUUGUGGCCGAUUGAAGGGACCAAUUUCACAUCUGCUGCAGGCAACGAAGAUGACGCCGACGUGUUGUUUCUGGUUCAUUAGAUUUCUUCAUCUGUGCAGUUUUAUAUUGUACAUCCUAGCUAGGCACAAGUAGUCCAAAAGGUUUGAAACAUGAUAUUUCUCCUGCAAAAUUUUGUGUUCGCUUUUCAUGUUGAUGCCAACAAAUGAUAUUUAGGAACCAUUUUAUUCCUUUUGUAAUGAAAGUGAUUUAGAGGAUAAAAAUGCCAGGGAUGCAUUCUCACAGAAAGCACUGAAUCGGCAGAAGUUGCAUGGUAGAAACUGAAACUCUCAACUACAUGGUGAAGCCAAUAAGGGAAUCCAGCUCAAGAGCGAGGCACAGAAAUCUGAGAAAAGAGGCAAGAACCGAUUUUGUGUGUUCUUAGCUCACAUGCAAGAGAUGCAGAUUGUGCUCCUGGAAAGCCACCUCGAUGAUCGACGCGUUGGAUGAAGCAUUGGGUCGUAAUCCUGCUCCAGAUACUCUAUAGAAAGAGAGCCACUCCUCAAAGUGACAUUUUGUACAUGAUCAAGAAUACAUGAAUAGUAUAUAUAUUCAUUAGACGAAACUGAAGUUUUUUCAGCCCACUGAUCAACUGAACCACUUGACACUAUGCAGGAAACUAUUUCAGCAAGCUCCUACAUUGCUAUCUUCACGCGGUGCUGCUACUUUUUCUUGCGCGCGUUGUGUGGCAGCUACUCUCUCUUUUGUGAAUUUGAGAAGCUUUCUACAUAUUGGUGGUGAAAUCCAGGCUGCUAGAUUUCAUCUCGGACAUGGAAUAGCUCCCAAUGGAAGUUGCCGUAAUAGAGGAUGAGAUUUAAUUUUGAGGUAUAGGUUCUGUUGAUUUAAUUCAAACUUUGCACACAGACUUGAAAUCUUGCUUGCUACCAUUUUUGACAGUGCCCGCAUCAAGCCAAAGACAUAUUAGUCUUCACCAUUUCGUUUGAGUAGAACAAAGUUCUUACCAUAUCAAGCUAUGCUCUGUUUAUAUGGUAUCCAUGCCCCUGAAGAACUAGAUCUUGAUUUGCAGCAGAUUCCCAUCGCCGGGCAUGCCAGAAGAAUGAAGCUUCAAUUUAUUCAUACUGGUUCAUUAUUUAGGUUGUGCAGAUCCAUUGUUAGGACACCACACGCUUGACCAACUUAUCUGAAUUGCUUCCCGCCUGUACCAUGUUUAGUAUCACCAAUGUAACACUGUAUUUCAAUUCAGUUAUACGCGCCUGUACCAUGUUUAGUAUCACCAAUGUAUCAUCGUAUUUCAAUUCAAUUCUACGUGUGUAUGGUGAUGCACCCAAUGGAUAUGCUCAUUUGUGAUGAAAAUACAUCGAUUAUAUGUCCUUUUACGUCUA